UCCCUAAUCUUUUGAACCAACCCAUCUUUUCUUAUGACUCUCUCUCUCUCUCUCUCUCUCGCUCGCACGAUUGUGAGCAGUGGCAAACGGCGGCAGCGAGCGACGGCAGCGAUAGCGUGAGACGACAUCGAGUAGCGGCAGACGACAGCGUCGAGCAACCAUCACCACCUCCCAAUAAGUCCCAUACCUCUCUCUCCUAUUCUUUUUUUAUCUCGGAGCCCUGAUUUUAACCCUCUAGGUGUCACUCUCUCUUAAGAGAUCCUACACUUCCUGCCAUCGACUUAACCGCCGUCGUCUCCAUCAUCAUCUCCAACUUAAACAACCAAUUUGAUAACGCCCAACCCCCUGCUGCGACGACGAAACCCUAGAUGUGUUCGAGCUCGAUUACAAACUGGUAUGUAUGUAGUUCAUAAUCGCCCAAUGGAGGAGGAGAAGAAGAACAAAAAUGUGAUUCGAUUGGAGCGGGAGAUCGUAAUUCUAAUUCUGAAGCCGAAACUCAUCAUGACGUUGGCCAAUCUCAUUGAAAGCUGUUGAAAGAGAGGCUAUGGCAGUGAGAGAUAUGAGCAGCUUGAUGUUUCAAAAAAAAGUUGCCCCGUUCCUAUGAGCUGCUCCAUGACGCCUCAUGGAAGUCUCAAAAGAAACUGUAUGAGAAGCACCAUAAUACAGCAGAUGGCCGCAUUAGAAUAUGGCUUGGAAUAAGGCAAAUUAUGAAUUCUACUGAUCGUUUACUAACUGAAACGAGGGACACUGCAAAAGAACUGAAAACUGGAAUCCACAUAGUAAGAAAAUGCUCUCUUUCUCUCUCUUCAUAUGCAUAUAGAUCAAUGUUUUUUUAGAUUUUGAAUUCCAUAGCCUGGUACUAUACAUAUUAAAGCUUUCUUGGAAUAUAAAUAUACUCUUCAGUGCUAUGUUUAAAUGUCUGGCAGAACAGAAAGUGAAAAUUGGAUGUUACUAUCCACAAACAUCAACUUGGAUUUAAGUGAAAAUUUAUAUGUGGAUGGUUAGAUUGUAAGAUAUUUUUCUUUGAACUGAAACUAUCCUCCUUGCAAUAAUGAUGCCCACUGCAGGAAGUGUAUUCUUAACCUCCUACUUCUUCCACAAAAUCAUGCCUAAUGAAAAACCUAAAAUAGAAAGAGAUCAAUUGAACACUAGUGAAAUUUCAAUACUGGCUGAUCUAAUACUGGCUGUUCAUGUAGUUAGUUUUAGUUUUCAUCAUAAUUUUGGUCAUUGAAAACUGUUUGGAUCUGAUGGCCCAAA